GACGAACGCUGGCGGCGUGCUUAACACAUGCAAGUCGAGCGGUAAGGCCCUUUCGGGGGUACACGAGCGGCGAACGGGUGAGUAACACGUGGGUGACCUGCCCUCAGCUCUGGGAUAAGCCUGGGAAACCGGGUCUAAUACUGGAUAUGACUCCAUGACGCAUGUUGUGGGGUGGAAAGCCUUGUGCGGCUGAGGAUGGGCCCGCGGCCUAUCAGCUUGUUGGUGGGGUGAGGCCUACCAAGGCGACGACGGGUAGCCGGCCUGAGAGGGCGACCGGCCACACUGGGACUGAGACACGGCCCAGACUCCUACGGGAGGCAGCAGUGGGGAAUCUUGCGCAAUGGGCGAAAGCCUGACGCAGCGACGCCGCGUGAGGAUGAC
rnacentral:rRNA from 1 species